rnacentral:tRNA from 1 species
GCGCCCGUGGUGGAAUUGGCAGACACGCCGGAUUUAGGUUCCGGUGGGAGACCAUGCAGGUUCAAGUCCUGUCGGGCGCACCA